UUGCCUUUUGAGGCUACAACAACAAUCGGAGAAUUUAACGUUUAGGAUAGAAAGAACAAAGAGUGAGUGAGAGAAAAAGAUGGCACCAAGCACGAACAAAUUCUGCGUAGUCGCUCUGUUAGUUUUGAUUGCAUCGACGAGCUUCUUCGUGGACAAAGCUCAAGCACAUGGAUUUCGAAGUUGCAUGAAUGUCUGUCGUGCAUCUUAUUUACUUUGCGCCAACUAUUGCUUUGCUUCGUCUUUUGGUUAUAACGAGCAACUCAUGCAACGAAAAAUCGGAGGAAGAAAGUCCAAUGAUGAUUUAGUGCAUUACCAAGCACCAAAAGUGCAAGGCGGAGAGAAGCAUCUGAAACAUUCAUAUCCAAAAAAUCCACAUUCCAAACAUAACAAAAAUGUGAAGCAUCGACAUUCGAAACACUCCAAACAUGCUCAUCAUUGAGAGCCUUUUUAUCAAAAAGGAAACAAUCAUCUCUCUUAUUCUUCUCUUCUAACUAUCCCAUGUCUCCAUUGUCUACAUAUACAUAAAUACGUAUAUAUAAAUAUAUACAUGUAUCAUCAUGUUCGGGAUUCAACCUCCUCGUUUGUACUUGUUGGUAUGCUUAUGGUUCGUUUUGUAACUUAAAACACUCAAUAUGAUAUGUUUGGAUUUAUUGUAAAAUGCAAUGCUUAAAUAUCGCUGCUGCAAUAUUAUUCAGAAGUCAUACAUUCCUACAUAAAUAUCGUUGUUGCAA